ACAAGAACGACUCUCGGCAACGGAUAUCUCGGCUCUCGCAUCGAUGAAGAACGUAGCGGAAUGCGAUACUUGGUGUGAAUUGCAGAAUCCCGUGUUCCAUCGAG
rnacentral:rRNA from 1 species